GGCCGGUUAGCUCAGUUGGUUAGAGUGUGGUGCUGAUAACCCCAAGGUCACAGGUUCAAUUCCCGUUCGGUCC
rnacentral:tRNA from 1 species